rnacentral:rRNA from 1 species
AUGCCAUUCACGAUUCAUGAGUACAAAAAUCACCAAAUAGACCAAAACAUUGCUAGAAGUACCUUAGUUCAAGUGCUACAACAGGAACUUGCGUAUAUAAGUAUAACCAUAGUUCGAAGAGGUGGGCGCUCACAUCUUUCUCCACUGUCGGCUGUCACCCCAGGGCACCACUCCAACCCCUUUGUUAUGAGCAUAUACCUAAAUAUUGGUACAGCCAAAUUUACAGAAUAUAUAUUGUACAUGAGGAGGGUUUGUGAGGAAGAGAGGACCCGUCGAAGAAAAAAAAUAGAGGAUCCGUGGAAGAGAGAAAAAGAGAGAAGGAGCGUGAACAGCCUUCAUUUUAGUGAUAUGCAGGUUGUUUUGUGA